rnacentral:rRNA from 1 species
UCGAACGAAUCCCGGGGGGCAACCCCCGGGGGAAGUGGCGAAAGGGGCAGUAAGCGUGGGUAACCUACCCCGGGGACGGGCAUAGCCCUCCUAACGGAGGGGUAAUUCCCGGCGAGGUGGCGGCGUCGCAUGGCGCUGCCAUGAAACGAGUUUCGCCUCGGGAGGGGCUCACGUGGUAUUAGCUUGUUGGCGGGGUAACGGCCCACCAAGGCCGAGAUGCCUAGCGGGUGUGAGAGCACGACCCGCGCCACUGGCACUGAGACACUGGCCAGACUCCUACGGGAGGCUGCAGUCGAGGAUCUUCGGCAAUGGGCGCAAGCCUGACCGAGCGACGCCGCGUGUGCGAUGAAGGCCUUCGGGUUGUAAAGCACUGUCGAGGGGGAGGAAGCCCGCAAGGGUUGACCUAUCCCUGGAGGAAGCACGGGCUAAGUUCGUGCCAGCAGCCGCGGUAAGACGAACCGUGCGAACGUUGUUCGGAUUCACUGGGCUUAAAGGGCGCGUAGGCGGUCGGCCAAGUCUGGGGUGAAAUCUUUCGGCUCAACCGGAAAAGUGCCCCCGAUACUGGCCGGCUAAAGGGAGACAGGGGCAUGCGGAACUUCCGGUG